AGCCCAGAGCCUGAAUCAGUGUGUGUGUUAGUGGAAGCGUCUGGAAAGGCGCGCGAUACAGGGUGACAGCCCCGUACACAAAAAUGCACAUGCUGUGAGCUCGAUGAGUAGGGCGGGACACGUGGUAUCCUGUCUGAAUAUGGGGGGACCAUCCUCCAAGGCUAAAUACUCCUGACUGACCGAUAGUGAACCAGUACCGUGAGGGAAAGGCGAAAAGAACCCCGGCGAGGGGAGUGAAAAAGAACCUGAAACCGUGUACGUACAAGCAGUGGGAGCACGCUUAGGCGUGUGACUGCGUACCUUUUGUAUAAUGGGUCAGCGACUUAUAUUCUGUAGCAAGGUUAACCGAAUAGGGGAGCCGAAGGGAAACCGAGUCUUAACUGGGCGUUAAGUUGCAGGGUAUAGACCCGAAACCCGGUGAUCUAGCCAUGGGCAGGUUGAAGGUUGGGUAACACUAACUGGAGGACCGAACCGACUAAUGUUGAAAAAUUAGCGGAUGACUUGUGGCUGGGGGUGAAAGGCCAAUCAAACCGGGAGAUAGCUGGUUCUCCCCGAAAGCUAUUUAGGUAGCGCCUCGUGAAUUCAUCUCCGGGGGUAGAGCACUGUUUCGGCAAGGGGGUCAUCCCGACUUACCAACCCGAUGCAAACUGCGAAUACCGGAGAAUGUUAUCACGGGAGACACACGGCGGGUGCUAACGUCCGUCGUGAAGAGGGAAACAACCCAGACCGCCAGCUAAGGUCCCAAAGUCAUGGUUAAGUGGGAAACGAUGUGGGAAGGCCCAGACAGCCAGGAUGUUGGCUUAGAAGCAGCCAUCAUUUAAAGAAAGCGUAAUAGCUCACUGGUCGAGUCGGCCUGCGCGGAAGAUGUAACGGGGCUAAACCAUGCACCGAAGCUGCGGCAGCGACGCUUAUGCGUUGUUGGGUAGGGGAGCGUUCUGUAAGCCUGUGAAGGUGUGCUGUGAGGCAUGCUGGAGGUAUCAGAAGUGCGAAUGCUGACAUAAGUAACGAUAAAGCGGGUGAAAAGCCCGCUCGCCGGAAGACCAAGGGUUCCUGUCCAACGUUAAUCGGGGCAGGGUGAGUCGACCCCUAAGGCGAGGCCGAAAGGCGUAGUCGAUGGGAAACAGGUUAAUAUUCCUGUACUUGGUGUUACUGCGAAGGGGGGACGGAGAAGGCUAUGUUGGCCGGGCGACGGUUGUCCCGGUUUAAGCGUGUAGGCUGGUUUUCCAGGCAAAUCCGGAAAAUCAAGGCUGAGGCGUGAUGACGAGGCACUACGGUGCUGAAGUAACAAAUGCCCUGCUUCCAGGAAAAGCCUCUAAGCAUCAGGUAACAUCAAAUCGUACCCCAAACCGACACAGGUGGUCAGGUAGAGAAUACCAAGGCGCUUGAGAGAACUCGGGUGAAGGAACUAGGCAAAAUGGUGCCGUAACUUCGGGAGAAGGCACGCUGAUAUGUAGGUGAAGCGACUUGCUCGUGGAGCUGAAAUCAGUCGAAGAUACCAGCUGGCUGCAACUGUUUAUUAAAAACACAGCACUGUGCAAACACGAAAGUGGACGUAUACGGUGUGACGCCUGCCCGGUGCCGGAAGGUUAAUUGAUGGGGUCAGCGCAAGCGAAGCUCUUGAUCGAAGCCCCGGUAAACGGCGGCCGUAACUAUAACGGUCCUAAGGUAGCGAAAUUCCUUGUCGGGUAAGUUCCGACCUGCACGAAUGGCGUAAUGAUGGCCAGGCUGUCUCCACCCGAGACUCAGUGAAAUUGAACUCGCUGUGAAGAUGCAGUGUACCCGCGGCAAGACGGAAAGACCCCGUGAACCUUUACUAUAGCUUGACACUGAACAUUGAGCCUUGAUGUGUAGGAUAGGUGGGAGGCUUGGAAGUGUGGACGCCAGUCUGCAUGGAGCCGACCUUGAAAUACCACCCUUUAAUGUUUGAUGUUCUAACGUUGACCCGUAAUCCGGGUUGCGGACAGUGUCUGGUGGGUAGUUUGACUGGGGCGGUCUCCUCCUAAAGAGUAACGGAGGAGCACGAAGGUUGGCUAAUCCUGGUCGGACAUCAGGAGGUUAGUGCAAUGGCAUAAGCCAGCUUGACUGCGAGCGUGACGGCGCGAGCAGGUGCGAAAGCAGGUCAUAGUGAUCCGGUGGUUCUGAAUGGAAGGGCCAUCGCUCAACGGAUAAAAGGUACUCCGGGGAUAACAGGCUGAUACCGCCCAAGAGUUCAUAUCGACGGCGGUGUUUGGCACCUCGAUGUCGGCUCAUCACAUCCUGGGGCUGAAGUAGGUCCCAAGGGUAUGGCUGUUCGCCAUUUAAAGUGGUACGCGAGCUGGGUUUAGAACGUCGUGAGACAGUUCGGUCCCUAUCUGCCGUGGGCGCUGGAGAACUGAGGGGGGCUGCUCCUAGUACGAGAGGACCGGAGUGGACGCAUCACUGGUGUUCGGGUUGUCAUGCCAAUGGCACUGCCCGGUAGCUAAAUGCGGAAGAGAUAAGUGCUGAAAGCAUCUAAGCACGAAACUUGCCCCGAGAUGAGUUCUCCCUGACUCCUUGAGAGUCCUGAAGGAACGUUGAAGACGACGACGUUGAUAGGCCGGGUGUGUAAGCGCAGCGAUGCGUUGAGCUAACCGGUACUAAUGAACCGUGAGGCUUAACCUUACAACGCCGAAG
rnacentral:rRNA from 1 species